rnacentral:rRNA from 3 species
UACAGAGGUCUCAAGCGUUGUUCGGAUUCAUUGGGCGUAAAGGGUGCGUAGGUGGCGCUGUAAGUCAGGUGUGAAAUUUCGAGGCUUAACCUCGAAACUGCAUUUGAUACUGCGGUGCUUGAGGACUGGAGAGGAGACUGGAAUUUACGGUGUAGCAGUGAAAUGCGUAGAGAUCGUAAGGAAGACCAGUGGCGAAGGCGGGUCUCUGGACAGUUCCUGACACUGAGGCACGAAGGCCAGGGGAGCAAACGGG